rnacentral:rRNA from 1 species
GACGAACGCUGGCGGCGUGCUUAACACAUGCAAGUCGAACGAAGUGGCGAACGGGUGAGUAACGCGUAAUCAACCUGCCCUUCAGAGGGGGACAACAGUUGGAAACGACUGCUAAUACCGCAUACUGAAGGAGGGGAUUGUGUUGGAUUGGCUAGUUGGGGGGGUAACGGCCCACCAAGGCGAUGAUCAGUAGCCGGGCUGGGAGGAUGGACGGCCACAUCUGGACUGGGACACGGCCCCGGCCUCUACGGGAGGCAGCCAGGGGGGAAUUUCCGAAAUGGGCGAAAGUCUGACGGAGCAACGCCGCGGGGGUGGUGGCGGCCUUCGGGUUGUAAAACUCUGUUAAUCGGGGCGCGGUACCGGAAUAGAAAGCCACGGCUAACUACGUGCCAGCCGCCGCGGUAAUAC